GACGUAGGGGGCAAGCGUUGUUCGGAAUUAUUGGGCGUAAAGAGCUUGUAGGCGGUCUGUCGCGUCUGCUGUGAAAAUCCGGGGCUCAACCCCGGACUUGCAGUGGGUACGGGCAGACUAGAGUGUGGUAGGGGAGACUGGAAUUCCUGGUGUAGCGGUGAAAUGCGCAGAUAUCAGGAGGAACACCGAUGGCGAAGGCAGGUCUCUGGGCCACUACUGACGCUGAGAAGCGAAAGCAUGGGGAGCGAACAGG
rnacentral:rRNA from 1 species